UCGCACGACACCUCCCCUUCAGUUCUCCGACUCUCAUUUUCUGCAAGGAAUGUCUAUCGUAGACCUCUCAGUCAGGGCUGACAAUCCACGGUGCGUCGCAUCUCAGCCUGAAUCGGGACCUCGAGCUUGCCGCGGUUGGAAUCAUCAUGGCCUAUGGUUGUCUAUACCAGACAAUGCAGUCCAGCUGAGAGAAUGAGUUUCGGAACUUAACCCUAAGUAUCCUUUUGGUACAAGUCUUGCGCCCGAAGUCGUCGAAUCUGCCUUUUAAAUCCACCCGGCUUCUCGGUCACGCUGUCGCCGCUGAAAAGCGGUGUCGCCGGCCGAGGGUCGCGGUGGAUGGACUGGCAGGGAACACAUUCCAGUCACCAUUUGGUGCGCGAAAGGGGGUCGCUAUGAGUCGUAUGGGUAAGAGCCUCUGGUCCGAGGCCGCUCGUCAGGACCUAUCCGCUGGAAGCAGAACUCUGGCCAAGAAUAGAUUGCCCGGAGAAGAUUGCAGACAUGGCUUGCAGGUUCGACUUGGCAACAAGCGGCGUUUCUUGGGGGGUGCUAUGGACAAGUUGAAGGAGCAUUGCGUUUGCCACGAACAGUCAGCAUCGAAGUUUCAAUCUACACGAUGCCUUGGAUUCGACUCGCCAGUCGUACAACAGUGCUGCGAGGAAGCCUGGCCAACAAACAGAAACUUUUCGAUCUGACGAAUCCCAUCGCCACGCUCAGCUCUCGGCACCCACCUGUCCAGUGCACCACCCCCGUACUCACUCAGCAGCCAAGCAGUUGCCAGCAUCGAAUUCCGCAGCCAGUCGGCUUCUCUCCGAGCCACACCCACGGCAAUUGCCACGGAUGUGACAUGCCCCCAUGUGAUCUGGCCAGGCGCAUUAGCCUUCAGUCGUGGGUUCUGUCCCACGACAUUGGAGGACGCCAAGUCUACGUUGGUCCCACUGGGAACCAACACUUACCCGGUGGCCUGGCACUAGCGAGAACCACUGGAUGAGAGCGCGGUUUUUCAUGGAUGUAUUUUGUCCGCGCGGAAUGCCCUCCAUUGCAUCUUGAGCAAGGAGAGGAAACAAAAACUAGUCCAAGGAGGUCGUGCGGUCCAAACAGAGAGAGCCUCCCCGACGGUUUGAGAGUACGCAUACUGAGAUUCAAUUCGCCGAACUCUGGACGGGUGGCUGUGUAGGUGAAAGUUGUGGCUCGUGAGCGGGAGACAGCUCAAGCGAUACCCGCAAAGGCCCUGGGUGGGAGGGCUAGACCGGUUGAACGGGUCUGAAGCGAUCCCGGGACCCAUCUCGAGUUGGAGUCAAAGUUUGGUGCUUGUCCGGGAUUGUGAAGGAUCAGAAUAGCUGUCUAUCCCCUGUCACAUUGGGCCUGCGCGCUCGUUGGAUGAUAAGGACAGGCCUAUGGACGGCAGUCCUGGUUGCCACCUCUCCAGGAAUGGCGAGAUUGGCAACCCC
rnacentral:telomerase_RNA from 1 species